UCCGUAGGUGGAUAAUUAAGUCAGAGGUGAAAUCCUGCAGCUCAACUGCAGAAUUGCCUUUGAUACUGGUUAUCUUGAGUUAUUAUGAAGUAGUUAGAAUAUGUAGUGUAGCGGUGAAAUGCAUAGAUAUUACAUAGAAUACCAAUUGCGAAGGCAGAUUACUAAUAAUGAACUGACACUGAUGGACGAAAGCGUGGGGAGCGAACAGGAUUAGAUACCCUGGUAGUC
rnacentral:rRNA from 1 species